rnacentral:rRNA from 1 species
CCUACGGGAGGCAGCAGUGGGGAAUUUUGGACAAUGGACGCAAGUCUGAUCCAGCCAUUCCGCGUGCAGGACGAAGGCCUUCGGGUUGUAAACUGCUUUUGUACGGAACGAAAAAGCUCUUAUUAAUACUAGGAGUCCAUGACGGUACCGUAAGAAUAAGCACCGGCUAACUACGUGCCAGCAGCCGCGGUAAUACGUAGGGUGCAAGCGUUAAUCGGAAUUACUGGGCGUAAAGCGUGCGCAGGCGGUUACAUAAGACAGAUGUGAAAUCCCCGAGCUUAACUUGGGAACUGCAUUUGUGACUGUAUAGCUAGAGUACGGCAGAGGGGGAUGGAAUUCCGCGUGUAGCAGUGAAAUGCGUAGAUAUGCGGAGGAACACCGAUGGCGAAGGCAAUCCCCUGGGCCUGUACUGACGCUCAUGCACGAAAGCGUGGGGAGCAAACAGGAUUAGAUACCCUGGUAGUCCACGCCCUAAACGAUGUCAACUGGUUGUUGGGUCUUCACUGACUCAGUAACGAAGCUAACGCGUGAAGUUGACCGCCUGGGGGAGGACGGCCGCGAGGUAGUAACGUUAAAGGUAAGUUAGUACGGCGUGAGACGUAGACCGACGGACGACGACGAGGGAGGAGGG